CCUACGGGAGGCUGCAGUGGGGAAUCUUCCGCAAUGGGCGAAAGCCUGACGGAGCAACGCCGCGUGAUCGAAUGAAGGCCUUCGGGUUGUAAAGAUCUGUUGACAGGGCCGAAUAAGCCAUGCGAAUAGUUUGGUGUACGACGGUACCUGUUUAGAAAGCUCCGGCUAACCACGUGCCAGCAGCCCCGGUAAUACGUAGGGAGCAAGCGUUGUCCGGAAUUACCGGGCGUAAAGGGCGCGUAGGUGGGCGCUUAAGUCAGGUGUGAAAACUCCGGGCUCAACCUGGAGACUGCACUUGAGACUGGGUGUCGUGAGGGCAGGAGAGGGAAGUGGAAUUCCAAGUGUAGCGGUGAAAUGCGUAGAUAUUAGGAGGAACACCAGUGGCGAAGGCGACUUUCUGGACUGUACCUGACGCUGAGGCGCGAAAGCGUGGGUAGCGAACGGGAUUAGAUACCCGGGUAGUC
rnacentral:rRNA from 1 species